rnacentral:lncRNA from 10 species
CAAGAAGAUGACUUGCAAGGUGCUAUUUAUAUUUACAAUGGCCGUGCAGAUGGGAUCUCGUCAACCUUCUCACAGAGAAUUGAAGGACUUCAGAUCAGCAAAUCGUUAAGUAUGUUUGGACAGUCUAUAUCAGGACAAAUUGAUGCAGAUAAUAAUGGCUAUGUAGAUGUAGCAGUUGGUGCUUUUCGGUCUGAUUCUGCUGUCUUGCUAAGGUAAGACUGAUAUAUUUCACUGCUUAAUUGCAAUUUGGUUUAAUUGUAAAAUGAUGGGAGGUGGUGUUUAAAAUCAGCAGUGGUAGUGACCUCAUGAUGCUCUUUUGGUAUUCUGAAGCUUAAUUAUUGAUUUUUAGGGUAUUUUUUUCACCUUACAGAGAUAUAAUUAAAUCAUCAAAGUCAAUAUUUUUAGACAUUUAAAUAAAAAGUUAUUUUGCCCUGUGCACAGAAAUGUAAUUAGUAUGUACACACAUAAUAAGACUCAUGAAAUUACUUGGUGAAUGUAAACUGAAAAAACAAACGCAUUUCUCUCCUUAAGGAAAAAUAAUUCUGCAAUUAACAUUGCUACUUUUAUUUCCUUCUCAGGACAAGACCUGUAGUAAUUGUUGACGCUUCUUUAAGCCACCCUGAGUCAGUAAAUAGAACGAAAUUUGACUGUGUUGAAAAUGGAUGGCCUUCUGUGUGCAUAGAUCUAACACUUUGUUUCUCAUAUAAGGGCAAGGAAGUUCCAGGUUACAUUGGUGGGUAUGCCCUACAAUAUUAAUGCUUGAUGGGGUGCGGUUCAUUCAUUAAUCCCACAAUCCUGCUUGGAGCCCUCACCGGUUUUCACCACGGAGAUCUUCUUUAGAGCGGGGGAGAGAAGCUACCUGAUGCAUGCUUUUCCUCUCCAUCUUCCAGAUUCUUGCGUUGUUCUAACCAAUGAGUUGGGCACAUUAGAAGGCUGUAGUUGUUUAGAGAUUAUGAGAAGCAAAGGACAUAGUAUCACUUGCUAUAUUAGUUUAAGGUAAACCAACUGAGCUUAACCUGUGAAAUCUCUUUCUUCUUGACAUUGGAUAAAAUUGACAUUUUAUCAAGUGUCAAUAAUUGAGGAAAGCCAGGCAUGGUAGCUCAUGUCUAUAAUCCCAGCACUUGAGGAGGCUGAGGCUUCAGCCCAGGAGGUCCAGGCUACAGCAAGCUGUCAUCACACCACUGCAUUCCAGCCCGGGCAAUGGAAUGAGACCCUGUCUCAAAAAAAUAA